rnacentral:rRNA from 1 species
UACGGAGGAUGCGAGCGUUAUCCGGAUUUAUUGGGUUUAAAGGGUGCGUAGGCCGUGCCUUAAGUCAGCGGUGAAAGCCCGGGGCUCAACCCCGGCGAGCCGUUGAAACUGGGGUGCUGGAGAGGAAGAUAGGCAGGCGGAAUUCGCGGUGUAGCGGUGAAAUGCUUAGAUAUCGCGAAGAACUCCGAUUGCGAAGGCAGCCUGCCGGCUUCUGUCUGACGCUGAGGCACGAAAGCGUGGGGAUCGAACAGG